rnacentral:lncRNA from 1 species
GCAGUCUUUGUUCUGCUCCUAUAACUGCGUCCCUAUUGCGCAGAGUCUUUGGAAAAGAAUCUGAGAGUGAGUGCUGAGAACUGCUCCACCUAGCCACGACUGCAGAGACCAACGUGAGAAUGACUGGAUCGACAGACACUGCAGUUCCACCAAAGAAAUUAUGUAAGCCACUAGAAUUUGAAAACUAACUCUACCGAAAAUCAUAUAGACAGAAUCGGCCUGGACUUAAAUGACAGCGGCUUGUGGCAGACUGUUUUGGAAAUUUCGGAUGGCAUCUUAAUAUCAGCAUUUAAAAAUUCGGAUGCUGAGAAAAGCUCUACAAAUGUUAUCACGUAACUUUCAGAAACCAUCUCCUCUGACUCCAGAAGUGAAUGGAGAGCCAUUACAGCAGUAGAUACUGGAAACUGCUACUGAGGGACCGUAGACCAGAGGAGCAGGACUGCCACUCCUCGGUGAUGGGCAUGGGGCAGAACAGCUCUAGACCAAAAAAAGAAAAAGAAGGAGGAGGAGGAGAAGGAAAAGCCUUAGAGCCUUGGAUUUCGAGCCACAUCUGUGCAGCUCACCUAUCCUGCAGAAGAGCCGAUCCUCACUGUGACCACGUUCCAGGUGAUCCUCAUUGACAUCUUAAGGUAGAGUUCUGCUGUAAUUUCUAUACAAUCUUAUAACUCAUACAGAAUAGAAUCUACUGUUUCCAGAUUGCAGCAAUGCUUGAUUUUGAUUUAAAAAAAAAAAAAAAAAGGAACCGCAAGGAUAAAAGAUUGGAGGCAGUCUAUAAAGACCCAUUUCCAAAGUCCCAGUUGAAGUGGAGGUCACUGUCAACCAGGUGUCCACAGGUAAGAACUGCUAUUACAUAAACAGGCCAACUGAGCCCUUUGCUUAAAUGGACAGGAGUGAGCCCACGGACAGUUCACCUACAAGAAUUGCUAUGUAAUUGUCACCUACUGAGAGAUGGGACCCUGAACGGGAGCAGACUCUAAAGCACAAUCUUGCCAUCAGUGCCCUCACAGGGCUGAGCCCUCUCUUUUCUGCAGCACAAGCGUUAUUACCCAAGCAUUUUCAUCAACAAAAGUAGUCUGUGUGCGGAGAGUGAUGGUGCAUGCCUGUAACCUCGGCAUCCAGGAGACUGAGCAAGAAGAUCCAGAGUUUAAGGCUAGCCUCAACUACAAAGUGAAAUGCUAACAAAACAACAACAACAGCAAAAGCAAUCCAAGUGCUUCUUUUCAGAAGACGGGUCAUUGUUUUUCUUUCUUCCCUUUUCCUUUUGUGGUGCUGAGGUGUAGUCGUGAGGCCUUUUCUGUGCUAGGCAGGUGACCCAUAGUGAGCCACAUCUGAGCCUUUAUUUUUUCUUGAGACAGGGUAUUGUUGUGUAGCAUAGGCUGACCUCAUAUUUAUAAUCCAUCUGUCUCUGCCUCCUGAAUGCUGGAUUACAAAUGUGCACCAUUGUGCCUUGUGCCAAGGGGUUGGGAGCAUUCACCCAAGCCUCCUGCAGUACUUUGGACCAGUGCUUGGGAUCUUUCAUAAUUCCUGUUUCUCCCUGACCAAGUGACUUUGCAUCAAGAAAGUGCUACUGUCCUGUGUCAGCAAGGCCAGACUGCAGCAGUAUUCCUGGAGACUACCUGGAAACUGGUCCUCAGCCUGAUAAUCAGGGUUUGGCUGGCUCAAUGCCAUCCAGAGCCUCCCUAUUGGGGUGGGUGGCUGACACAAAAUACAAGGAGUAUGCUUUGCCAACACCUUCAUAAGAUAAGACUGCAGUGCACACUGUGGAGCCUGUCUACCUCGUGACCAAAGUAUACACCAACUUGAAGCACAAGAGCUAACUGCCCUAUCGCAUAUUUCAGACCAGCUAAUGUGGUUCUUCAACCUGGGGACUCAUACAGCUAAGUAUGUACAACACUGCUCCGUCUCAGAGUCAGAACCUACCAGGGCCUAUGUGGUGGAUAGUCACCACGUUGUCUAGCCUUUACCAUGAGUUUUCAGGAGUUGCUGCCAGACUUCAGUGUACCAAGUAUAUAGGUACACUUCCAGGUAGAUGGAGGUUUAGUUUUGAAAGCCUUGCCUUAGUUUCUGUACUCUUCCUCCUCAAAGGGAUUCUGGCAAUCAUCCUGGGCCUGUUACCUAUCUCCAACACUAGGAAUGUCUGCUGGCGAAGCAUGGAUUUGAAGUUGCUCCCAACAUAAGCCUCACCUUUUAGUAGAAUCGAUGCAUGACUUCACCUAGCAGAUUAAUUCUAGAAACAUCUUUCAAUUGGACAUUGCCUGCAGUGCCAACAGGGGAGCCUUACAUGUUGUAUUGGAGUCAAAUACAUGCAUGUGAGUUUGAAUAUUUUCACUUAGUACAACUUUUAUAAGUUGUUCCUACCUGUCUUUUGUUGGUGGGAAUGGGAAGCUCUACCAGUUUACUGAAUACUUUUAUAUGUGCUUUAUUUUGCCUCUUUAGUUCACAAUUCCUUCUAGAAGAACUUUGCAUGCAUUAAUUUGCAUUAACAUGUUCUGAAAACGCUUGUCCUUACAAUAAUGAAGGGGGGUUAUUGCACUGUUAAGUUACUACCCUUGAAGUCCAUAUACUUUGAGGUGCUGAGAAACUGUGAAUUUAGUUAUAUAAGAGCAGAAAUUCUCCUUCCAAGAACGAUUUAUAUGGCUGUUAAAUCCCCCCUUCCUUUCCUCAUUUUCUGAAACUUUCAUGGCUAUUGUAUCUAGUUGGCUGCCAGCAUCCAUCUCAAUUGUUUCUGAAAUGUAAAUACCAUAUUUUCUUGUUAGAUAAAGAAAUGUAAAUUACUGUAACCUGAGAUGCUGUCAUUUUUAAACCUUCUUUAUCAAGGAAUAAAUUAAAACAUUUGCAAA